rnacentral:antisense_RNA from 16 species
AAUAACCAAAGAUUACUUGUGGAUUUAAGGUGGGGUUACUUAUUACCCGCACAUCUCCGCCGCCAGGUGCCCAAGUAUCGUAAACACCACCAAAAAACAUUGCUUUAAAUACUAAAAGGAACGCACCGGUACCUAAUAGAAUUAAAUGGAUACCAAUAAUAGUGGUCAUCUUGUUUUUAUCUUUCCA